UACAGAGGGGGCAAGCGUUAUUCGGAAUUAUUGGGUGUAAAGGGCGCGUAGGCGGCUUCGCAAGUGGAAGGUGAAAUCCCUCGGCUUAACCGAGGAACUGCCCUCCAAACUGCGUUGCUUGAGGCCGGGAGAGGUGAGUGGAAUUCCCAGUGUAGCGGUGAAAUGCGUAGAUAUUGGGAGGAACACCAGUGGCGAAGGCGGCUCACUGGACCGGAACUGACGCUGAUGCGCGAAAGCGUGGGGAGCAAACGGG
rnacentral:rRNA from 1 species